CACCCCCGCCCGCGGGCAGCGCUCGCUUGCCCGGCGGACACCCGCCACGCCCCCCACCACAACCUACGCGGGACGGGGCUUAGACGGCUGGAGGCGCCCCAGGCACCAGGCCGGUUUUAUGGCCUCACCUCGGCGCGGGGACCCAGGUAGCUGGAGAGUCAAGGAGUCUGUCCCUCCCGCUUCCAGGGGACCAUCCUCACACCCUGUCGGACAGAAAAGUUGUUUCGGUUGCCUGGCCUCAGGUGUCUCCCCGGGUUUGCUUUAGUUACCUGGCGCCUCAGCCUUGACCGGAAAAAGCCGGUGGGGGAGCGUGGAGGGGAGAGACAAGAAACUGAACCCUAAUGAAAUUGGCAGAGCCCCGCCGGUGGUAACUGGGAGUGUCGAGAUUUCAACCCAUACCGUCAACCAACUACAGGACUGUAUUCUCCUGUGAGCUUGAAUCCCCUCCGUGGGAAAUCUAGCUGUUGAAGGUGGACUUGAUUUUUGGAAACAGCCUAACGGGUGCUAGGAAAGGCAGGAAAGGAGUGUGAGUCCCUGAAACCAUCAGAAGAAACUUAGGACCCCAAACAUCUCCAUCUCCUUUCAUCCCUGGAAAAGAAUGAAGAAAUUCCCAGCUGGCCCCAACAGAGAACCCCAAGACUCUCCCAUCUCUCCAUCAUCAGGGGCAUAUGUGGUACCUCAGGUACUUUCCGAAAUGACCUCCUGACGCCAGAACUCCGAUUUAAGCCUUGUGCCACACCCUUCCCAGGACCCAGCGGGGCUGCAUCAUCUGUUGCAAUCAGCUGCCGAGGCUUCACCACUGGUAUUCCUAUGAAAAGGCAAGCAUACCCGCUGCUAUCCUCUUUCUGAGGCUUUAGCUAUCUCUGGGGCCACUACCCCAGUCUUCUGGAGCUCCGCCAUAAAAGUUCUCACCAGUAG